UUUCUCUGUCUCUAUCUCACUCUUUCUCUAGGACUCCCUCCUUAGCUCCCUCACUCUCUCUGAUUCUCUCUAUGCUCUGGCUCCGCAUGCCGUUAGAUCCGCCCUAACAUCUGUCCGUCUCACCAUUAGCACAUCCAUCAGUGUCGCGCUGGCUGCACAUCGCAGCGACAACACACCAGACACAACAUGGACUAUGAUUCAAUACAAAUAACUAGCACACCGAGCCACUUCUACCAGGAAGAAGCAAGGACUGCAAUCCCAGUAUUUACAAAUGUUAACCACCUUCAGAAAAGCAUCCAGUCCUUGCUUUUGACACAGAACUGAACCUUGCCUCUUUUUACUUCCCCUCCCCCGUUAAAUUGAACCCGAAUACUUUUCUCGUGAGACUAACAGCAGAGAUGGAAGGAGAAAUGAGUGCUCAACUGCAGCGAGAUGGAUGAGCACUCAGUCUUCCUUCUGUCUCUAUUUCUAUGGAUAGGGUGUGUGCUUAUUGGUAAUGGUGGUAGUGCCUGGGUCGGAUGGAGACAGCACCUAAAUCUGCAUCACCUAAAAUGCAGACAAGAUUUGCAGUAGUUUAUAGCCUGCAGUUUUGAUGCAUUUAAGCCAAGAUGGAAAAGUCCUGUGUGGUGAACUAUUGGCAAAAUUAUUCUGGAAAUCUGAAGCUAAAACUUUCAAAGGUUUUCCUGCUUCUGCAAGGUCAAUUAAAAAGGGAAAGGGGAAAUUGACUUAAAAUAAAAAGACCUUGGGCUCCUUCUUUAACUCUCCACAGAAAUUCUGCCUAGGUUUACUUACAGUAGAAACUGUGUACUCUGUAUACUCUGUUACUCUAAUGUAAGAAUGCUAGAAGUAAGAAAGUGUGUAGACUAAUGUUGACAAUUAACAAUCUUUUGAGAAGGAGGAAGGGCAGAUCCUUAUCGACAAGAAGCCAGAAAAUAUGGUGAGUUUUCUAUUAACAUCUAGCAGAAAGUGGAAGAGCUAGCGGCAAGUGUUAGGCUAAGUGAGAGAAUCACAUUGUGAGAGUUUCCUCUCUACUUUCCUUCCAUCCUUCAUUCUUUGCUUCUUUCUUUUCCUCUUUCUUUUUUCUUCCUUCUUUCUCUGCCUUUGCCUUCCUUUUCUCAUCAUUUUUCUUUCAAUUAUUUUUCUUCUUCAUUGGCGGUACAUCUGUUACUGAUCACUGAGUAAAAUGUAAUCGGGUUCGUUGCAGGAGCACUAGCCUCUUUUUUUGCUUAGAUAGGUGGUCCAAAAGAUUGGGAAUCCACUGCAGGAAGGUCAGGGCAAAUCCCCGGCUUGUUACCAAAUGAAAGGACACCAAAUGCCACAACUUUUCGAUUUUAGAACAGCUACGUUUAUCUUACUUUCUCCCAACUGUAAAUGUCUGUCCGAGUGGCUAUAUGCAUAUUUCCUGCCAGAGUGGACCACAAAUGCAAGCUAUAUCUUUGCAGUGAUUAGUUUAAAGAUAUACAUUUAACCAGAAAACCAGAGCAGCUUUCAAUCAUCCUAAAAUGCAUACAAGAGCUUAAAAGGAAGAUGCCAGAAGAUUGCAUUAGGACCUCAAGCUUAUGUUUCUGAGAAACGUGUGAGAAAAUACUAAGUUAUAGUGGGGAUUUUAAAAAUCAGGUGUAACAGCCGAGUGUCUUAAGAUCAGGGAAGUGAGCCAGCUACUACAGACCGGAUGUAUCGUAGAAUCGCGCUGAUGCGCUGCUUUGCAAUCCUGUUACUCCAUUACAAAAAGUUUCAACUUUCUGAAAAAUGCAACAAUGGGCUUUCUCCCUUCCUGGUUUUUAGUAACAAUUAAGUGUACUAGCUUUGCGGAUUUUCUUUUAAGAUCCAGUUCAAAGAAAAGCCAGGUACUUCACUGUUUCGUGAGGACAGGCUGGCAGGCAACAUAUGUAAAGUCCAAUGUAGUGUGUUGGUGACGGUAACAAACAGUGCGCUGCAAAGCUGCGGAGCGGGGAGCCAGUCUGUACUUCUAGUCAGUGCAGCAUUUACAAGCACAGUAUAUAAAAUCGAUGGCUACAUAAGUAGCCACCGCCAGUCCUCAGAACUGUUAAAAAAAAAAAAAAAAAAAAAAAAAGUCCUGCGCUCACUCUCUCUUUGCACCUCUUUGAAUAAUUAUUUGCAAGAGAACUUCUAUAAUUAGGAAGUCUCCCUUCCCAAAGUCGACAGUCACCCCCUGGACUUUCUUAUUCUUGUGGAACCUCGGAGCCCUUAGUUUCCAAAGCUGUCAUAACACUGUCUUUUAAGCUCUUCAGGAAAUAUUUGUCCUUGUCACUAGUCAUUUUCACCCAAACUAAUUUCACUGUGGAAGUUUACAAAGGAAAUUGGGGAGUUUGGGUGAAGGUUUUUAAUUAAGUCAACAACUUCCCUUUGAAUGAUGGGGAGACCUAACUUUGACCAAAAUAGAAUGUCUAUGGUAAACUGUUCUCAUUCACUCCUACCAAGUAACACAUUCUAAAUACUACUAUUUCCUAAAGACUGGUUUAAAGGCAGUGCUGCAGCAAGAUUCUCUUUUGAGCAGGAUCUGGGGUGCUCAGGUUUUAGUGACAUCUGGGUGGGCAGAACCUGUAUUUCUUUCGCAUUGCUGUCAUUAGUGCUUUGCCUAAGCGACUCGAGAUCUUAUGUGAGGCCAACAGGGUUGAGUUUUGAAGCCUAGGGCCCAGGAGUAGGACUGCAGGUACCAGAACUCACCCCUGAAAAAGCCAGCCGGUUUUCUGACACCUUUAGCUGGGUCAUCGAGGGCCUUCUAUACUCCAAAAAGUCUGACAUAAUCUGACCUUCCCUACAUGCUGCUACCUCGGAGACUACUAGUAUCAUUCUCGGGAAUCACUGCCCCUAGUCCUGGGAAAGGGCAGGUGGACGGAACAAAGGAGACACUGCUUCCCUCUGCCCACCCCGGGAUUCUUAAGGGAAAUGUUGAGGGGAGAGAACCCACGAACAGUCGUGAUUUCCUGUUCAAAGAUUAGAUUCCUAAUCUUUGGCAUGCAAGGUUUAUGGGGAAAGGGCAGAAGCCUCACCGGGCUUCCAACUAAGGGCAAUGCUUCGGCUCUUUAUUCCGAGGUUUAGUUGCCUGAAUGAAAGGCGGGCCGGCCCGGGAGCAUCUUCCCCUUGGAGGCCAGGCACUCUAGGCGUGGCUAGAAACAAUACUUGGAAACCUGGAAAAGUCUUUGCUUUCCUUUUCCUACUCCUACCAACCUUAUUCGGGGCCCAGCUCCCCAGCCCCUCGGCCUUUGCCCCGCCCCGCCUCGUCUUUUCCGAGCUCACUACUAUGCUGCCAAGGACAGGCUGUGGGGACCUGGAUUUGCUAGGUCCAGGCCACCUCCACUUUCCAAACUUUGGGAGUCCAGGAACAGAAGCAAAAGAGUGGGACUGGCGGGGUCGAGAUGCGAAAGCUGCCUAAGCAGAAGGUUGAGGAGAAGGGACUAGCAUCCGCGAUGAAUUUCUCAAAGGACAGGUCAGCCCAGCCAGAGUAAAAAAAAAACAUUGUGAGCAAUGAUGAGAGCUGCCUCUGGACAAUGACUAGAAAUUGAAUUUAUCAUUAUGGAAGGUUCUGAGAAACUGGUCUAUAGGUAUUUGUUUCUAUUCCAUGCUUUUUGUCCUUCUCUGUGUCAAGUCCUAGAGAUGAUCCACCAGGGACCAGGAAUUUAAGCCAUGAUGACCUUGGACCUAUGAUUGCAGGCAGGAUGGUACAGGCUGCCAGGCUGGCAUGGAAGCCCCCAAAACCCAGAGUAACCGCUACUCAGACCUGAAGUAGACUUGGGCUUAUACUGUGCUCUGCAGGAACUGAGCUAAAUUAUGGACAUAAUCUUCAACUCCAUAGAAGAUGGCAAGAGGGGGAAAAGAGAAAUGAUGUAUUCCCUGUGUUGGGGGAAUAAAUUUGUAUAUUUGUGAUUAUAUCUUCUGAAGUAAAUAUUUGUCAUUAUAUCUUCUGAAGUAAAUUUCUGUGAAAAACUAA